CAUGCAAGUCGAGGGGGUUAUUGGUUUUACGGGACCAAGAGACCGGCGCACGGGUGCGUAACGCGUAUGCAAUUCUACCUUUUGCAGAGGGAUAGCCCAGAGAAAUUUGGAUUGAUACCUCAUAGUAUAGUACUUUGGCAUCAAGGAACUAUUAAAGUCACAACGGCAAAAGAUGAGCAUGCGUCCCAUUAGCUAGUUGGUAAGGUAACGGCUUACCAAGGCUACGAUGGGUAGGGGUUCUGAGAGGGAGAUCCCCCACACUGGUACUGAGACACGGACCAGACUCCUACGGGAGGCAGCAGUGAGGAAUAUUGGACAAUGGGCGCAAGCCUGAUCCAGCCAUGCCGCGUGCAGGAUGACGGUCCUAUGGAUUGUAAACUGCUUUUAUACAGGAAGAAACACUCCGACGUGUCGGAGCUUGACGGUACUGUAAGAAUAAGGAUCGGCUAACUCCGUG
rnacentral:rRNA from 1 species